GUAAAAGCAACAUCCCAUGGCUCUCACAUGAUCCUGAAGUGACAUUCCAGAGGUGCAAGAGAAUGCAGAGCUGAUCCAGAAAGGCUUCAGAGGCCGGAGCUCAUCACUGCAGGUCUUCAGCUCUGAAUGUUAACGUCCUCAUAAUCUUCAAACAGACCCUCCAGUCCUCCCGGAGCCUAUAGCUUCAUCCCCUGAACACCUCAUUCCUCUUCAAACACUCCUGCGGCGGCACCAGAUCCUCCAGCUUCAGGUAGAAAAUCCUCUGCAGGCCCUGGAUGCACAGAGUGCGGAGCUCUCGCAGUUUUUCCAAAAUUCUGGACAAAGAGUUGGACCAACAGUCUGAGCCUCCGUCUC